UACGUAGGUGGCGAGCGUUGUCCGGAUUUACUGGGCGUAAAGCGCGCGCAGGCGGUUCUGUAAGUCCUGGGUGAAAGCCCCCGGCUCAACUGGGGAGGGUCAGUGGUAACGGCAGAGCUGUGAGUGCAGGAGAGGGAAGUGGAACUCCGGGAGUAGCGGUGAAAUGCGUAGAUACCCGGAGGAACACCAGUGGCGAAGGCGGCUUCCUGGCCUGUAACUGACGCUGUGGCGCGAAAGCUAGGGGAGCAAACGGG
rnacentral:rRNA from 1 species